GACGAACGCUGGCGGCGUGCUUAACACAUGCAAGUCGAACGGAAAGGCCCUGCUUUUGUGGGGUGCUCGAGUGGCGAACGGGUGAGUAACACGUGAGUAACCUGCCCUUGACUUUGGGAUAACUUCAGGAAACUGGGGCUAAUACCGGAUAGGAGCUCCUGCUGCAUGGUGGGGGUUGGAAAGUUUCGGCGGUUGGGGAUGGACUCGCGGCUUAUCAGCUUGUUGGUGGGGUAGUGGCUUACCAAGGCUUUGACGGGUAGCCGGCCUGAGAGGGUGACCGGCCACAUUGGGACAGAGAUACGACCCAGACUCGUACGGGAGGCAGCGGUGGGGAAUAGUACACGAUGGGCGGAAGCCUGAUGCGGCAACGCCGCGUGCGGGAUGACAGCCUUCGGGUUGUAAACCUCUUUCGCCUGUGACGAAGCGUGAGUGACGGUAAUGGGUAAAGAAGCACCGGCUAACUACGUG
rnacentral:rRNA from 1 species